rnacentral:rRNA from 1 species
UACGUAGGGGGCUAGCGUUGUCCGGAAUCAUUGGGCGUAAAGAGCGUGUAGGCGGCCCGGUAAGUCCGCUGUGAAAGUCGGGGGCUCAACCCUCGAAUGCCGGUGGAUACUGUCGGGCUAGAAUGCGGAAGAGGCGAGUGGAAUUCCUGGUGUAGCGGUGAAAUGCGCAGAUAUCAGGAGGAACACCGAUUGCGAAGGCAGCUCGCUGGGACGUAACUGACGCUGAGACGCGAAAGCGUGGGGAGCAAACAGG